rnacentral:rRNA from 1 species
AUACGUAGGUGGCAAGCGUUGUCCGGAUUUACUGGGCGUAAAGAGUAUGUAGGCGGAUAUUUAAGUCAGAUGUGAAAUUCCCGGGCUUAACCUGGGAGCUGCAUUUGAUACUGGAUAUCUAGAGUGCGGGAGAGGAAAGUGGAAUUCCUAGUGUAGCGGUGAAAUGCGUAGAGAUUAGGAAGAACACCGGUGGCGAAGGCGGCUUGCUGGACAAAUACUGACGCUGAGGUGCGAAAGCGUGGGGAGC